rnacentral:rRNA from 1 species
UGGCGGACGGGUGAGUAACGCGUAAAGAACUUGCCCUUUAGACUGGGAUAACAGAGGGAAACUUCUGAUAAUACUGGAUAAGUUAGUAUAUCGCAUGAUAUGCAAAUGAAAGCUACGGCACUAAAGGAGAGCUUUGCGUCCUAUUAGCUAGUUGGUAAGGUAAGAGCUUACCAAGGCGAUGAUAGGUAGCCGGCCUGAGAGGGUGGACGGCCACAAGGGGGACUGAGAUACGGCCCUUACUCCUACGGGAGGCAGCAGAU